UGCCUGUGAUGACUCGCCAUGCUAAUACUGAACCCCGGAGUCCAGCAAAAGGGGAUUUGAACGAAUGUUUCUCUUCGCUCUGAGGCGC